rnacentral:rRNA from 1 species
UGCCAGACUCCUACGGGAGGCAGCAGUGGGGGAUAUUGCACAAUGGGGGGAACCCUGAUGCAGCGACGCCGCGUGGGUGAAGGAGCACCUCGGUGCGUAAAGCCCUAUCGGCAGGGAAGAAACAGACGGUACCUGACUAAGAAGCCCCGGCUAACUACGUGCCAGCAGCCGCGGUAAUACGCAGGGGGCAAGCGUUAUCCGGAUUCACUGGGGGUAAAGGGAGCGUAGACGGCGACGCAAGUCUGGAGUGAAAGCCCGGGGCCCAACCCCGGGACUGCUCUGGAAACUGGGUCGCUGGAGGACGGGAGGGGGAGGCGGAAUUCCUGGUGUAGCGGUGAAAUGCGUAGAUAUCAGGAGGAACACCGGCGGCGAAGGCGGCCUGCUGGACCGUGACUGACGUUGAGGCUCGAGAGCGUGGGGAGCAAACAGGAUUAGAUACCCCUGUAAUU